rnacentral:miRNA from 1 species
UGGUGUGUGUGUGUGCGUUUGUGUAUGUAUAUAUGUGUACAUAUAUCACACAGAUAGAAGCAUAUACAUAUACAUACACACGCAUAUAUACACACACACAU